rnacentral:miRNA from 1 species
AUGUCCAGUUAUAUUUGAAUUAUAGAUAAACAAUGAAAAUUUUUUAGUAUAAGUGUCUCACAUGCAAUUUUUAGGACAUACUUAUACUAAAAAAAAAUUAGUUGUUGUUUACCUGAAAUUCAAGUUUAA